AUAUUAUGGGAAUAUGUUUUGGU
rnacentral:piRNA from 1 species